GAAAUGCGAUAAGUAAUGUGAAUUGCAGAAUUCCGUGAAUCAUCGAAUCUUUGAACGCACAUUGCGCCCUCUGGUAUUCCGGGGGCAUGCCUGUCCGAGCGUCAUUGCGAACCCCUCAAGCACGGCUUGUGUGAUGGGCCCUCCCGCGUCUUGGUCGUCAAGACGGGCCCGAAAUGCAGUGGCGGCUUCGCGGUUAUCCGAUCAGCCAGAGCGUAUGGGGACUCUCUCUCUGUCACACGCCCGCGGCGCGGACCGACGCCUGUCGACCGUUAUUCAUCUUUUCUCGGUUGACCUCGGAUCAGGUAGGGAUACCCGCUGAACUUAAGC
rnacentral:misc_RNA from 1 species